GUCAGAGGGGUGAUGGCUCCCAAGGUCAGAAAGGCAGAAGGUUCCAGAAGGUCAGAAAGGUGAAAGAUCCGAAGGUCAGGAGAGGCGAAGGCGGGCAAAGGCCCCGAAGGGCAAAAGGAACAAGGAUCUGAAGGUUCCGAAGAAAGGCCCAGAAGACCCCCUCCACAAAGACGAUGAUUCCUGUGAAAGAAAUAAAACAAAUGAAUACUGAA